CCUACGGGAGGCAGCAGUGAGGAAUAUUGGUCAAUGGGCGAGAGUCUGAACCAGCCAAGUCGCGUGAGGGAUGACUGCCCUAUGGAUUGUAAACUUCUUUUGUCUGGGAGUAAAAUGUGCCACGAGUGGGCUGGUGUGAGUACCUGAUGAAUAAGCAUCGGCUAACUCCGUGCCAGCAGCCGCGGUAAUACGGAGGAUUCGAGCGUUAUCCGGAUUUAUUGGGUUUAAAGGGGGCGCAGGUGGAAGUGUCAAGUCGGCGGUAAAAUUGCGGGUCUAAACCUCACCGUGCCGUUGAAACUGGUAUUCUAGAGUGGGCGAGAGGUAUGCGGAAUGCGUGGUGUAGCGGUGAAAUGCAUAGAUAUCACGAAGAACUCCGAUUGCGAAGGCAGCAUACCGGCGCCCAACUGACGCUCAGGCACGAAAGCGUGGGUAUCGAACAGGAUUAGAUACCCCUGUAGUC
rnacentral:rRNA from 1 species